AUUGAACGCUGGCGGCAGGCCUAACACAUGCAAGUCGAACGAGUGGCGGACGGGUGAGUAAUGUCUGGGAAACUUCCUGAUGGAGGGGGAUAACUACUGGAAACGGUAGCUAAUACCGCAUACCAUCGGAUGUGCCCAGAUGGGAUUAGCUAGUAGGUGGGGUAAAGGCUCACCUAGGCGACGAUCCCUAGCUGGUCUGAGAGGAUGACCAGCCACACGGGAACUGAGAAACGGUACAGACUCCAACGGGAGGCAGCGGUGGGGAAUAUUGCACAAUGGGCACAGGCCUGAUGCAGCCAGGCCGCGUGUAUGAGGAAGGCCGUCGGGUUGUAAAGUACUUUAAGCGGGGAGGCGUUACCCGCAGAGGAAGCACCGGCUAACUCCGUGCCAGCAGCCGCGGUAAUUC
rnacentral:rRNA from 1 species